rnacentral:lncRNA from 1 species
GGCUUUCAUCCAUGUGGCUUCUCGCUUUCCCCCUCCUCCUUCUGCUUUAGCUUUCUCUUGUUCACCUCUCUGCUCUGCAGCUUGCUUGGAUGUCUUGCUGCCUUGGGAGCUCAAGACCAAGGAUUCUUUCAAGCCUUCUGUCCUAGCACGUAGCUGAAUGCAUUCAAAGACUCCCAAAUGUGACUGGCUGUGAGUGUAUUGCAUGAGAUGGGCUGAGGGCUGUACCUAAGCCACUUUCAACUCUCUCAUAGUUUUCCCCAUCCCUACUGGCCAAGGAAACCAUACAUCCUUUUCCUGAUGAAAGGCUCGCACGGAGAACCGUACGCUGUGCAUUAGGAGCAGCAGAGAUCCUCUGGGAUCUGAACAGAGAAGGACUGUUUGAGAUGUGCACUCUAUGCUUGUCAAAGAGAAGCAGAGUGGAAACAGUUUCUCAGUGGAGAGUUUGGGACAGAUUAUAAUUUCAGAUGUGUGUCAGGCCAAUGCAAUAUGCCAGUGAAAAUGUCUUCAAGCAGGCAGCAAUGGCUGGACCAGAGUCAGGCCCUCACACCAGCUGAACUUUAGCAGGGUUGAAUAAAAAGGUGAGAAUCUCUACUUCUCUAAGCA